CACGGCUCAACGUGGGCGAUGCAAGUCGCCUUGCCGUGGACCCAUCAAACACCUGUGCACCCAGCGAGCGUGUCUCCCUCAGGGGGAGAAGCGUUCACUCNCUUUUGUAACCAAACGCCUGUUAACGAAGCAUGUACGAUCGAGCUCUACGGAGCGAGUAACAUAUAAUACAACUUUCAACAACGGAUCUCUUGGCUUUCGCAUCGAUGAAGAACGCCGCGAAAGUGCGAAACGUAAUGUGAAUUGCAGAAUUCAGUGAAUCAUCGAAUCUUUGAACGCAUCUUGCGCUCCUUGGUAUUCCGAGGAGCAUGCCUGUUUGAGUGUCGUGAAGUCUAUCGACCCGUGGCCCUUUGUUUAAUUGGGGGGCCGGUGGGUCGGAUUUGGACGCUGCCGUCCUUCGUGGACGGCUCGUCUCGAAAUGCAUUAGCUGUUCCCAUCCCACAGACAACGGUGUGAUAAGAAACUCGCCGGCGUCGGUGGUAACCAAAAUGGGUCGGCUCACAGUCGUCUUCGGACAAAACAUCAUCAUCUGACCUCAAA
rnacentral:rRNA from 1 species